GAUAUCGAAACUAUUAUAAACAGCCAAUUAGAAAAAUCUCCCGAAGAUGACAUAGAUCUAGUUAAUCAACAACAAGAAAACGUUUUUAGUGCUUGUGAGGAAUCGUUGACAUGUUUAGAAAACCGGCUAAAAAAAUGAUAAAAUGAUAAAACAGAAUAUUAGGUACAGAAAAUGGUUUCUUACACACGAACAGAAAUAAUAUGAUGUGAUGAAAACUUUCUUGAUUUGAAGGAGACAUCAAAUUCAGCGAAAGAAAAGGAAAUUAUUCUCCGAGAGACUGCCGGGUGUAACCAUAUUGCUGGGACUAAAGAAUAUCAAAGGUGUCAUUAAACAAAAUUUCAAAAUAAUCGAUGUGCUUGUUGAGCAGAUAUAAAAUUAUGUAAUUCAAAGUGUGAUAAUAGUUUAUCAUGUGAAGAUAAGUAAAA